rnacentral:lncRNA from 1 species
GUGCAUUGUGCUAUGAAAGAGGUCGUUUUUACUCUUGAGGUUGAGAAGAACGAAAAGAGUUUGGAAAAGAGAUCAUAAUUCAUUAUUGUCCUUGCAUGGGUGAAAAAAAUCCAUUGCCGAAAACAACUCAUUGCGUAAAGGAAUGAAUAUUCAACGAAGAUAUCCACAGGAAAAGGGGUAGACAAGCUUAAGUUCAGUGGGCCCUCUUUGAUGAAAAAGCUUGAGUUUGCCGGAAAUCACUUGGGA